GUGAGAAUGUUGGCAUGAGUAGCGAGAUGUGGGUGAGAAUCCCACAGGCCGUAAACCCAAGGUUUCCAGGGGAAGGUUCGUCCGCCCUGGGGUAGUCGGGACCUAAGCUGAGGCCGAAAGGCGUAGGUGAUGGACAACAGGUUGAUAUUCCUGUACUACCGAUAACCGUUUGAGAGAAGGGAUGACACAGUAGGAUAAGCUAAGCACCCUGUUGGUUAUGUGUGCCCAAGCAUUGAGGCAGUCAAAGUAGGCAAAUCCGCUUUGAUAAUGCUGGGAUGUGAUGGGGAGCGAAAUUUAGUAGCGAAGUAGCUGAUUUCACACUGUCAAGA
rnacentral:rRNA from 1 species